rnacentral:rRNA from 1 species
UACGUAGGGACCGAGCGUUGUCCGGAUUCAUUGGGCGUAAAGGGUGCGUAGGCGGCGCGGUAAGUCGGGUGUGAAAUCUCGGGGCUUAACUCCGAAACUGCAUUCGAUACUGCCGUGCUUGAGGACUGGAGAGGAGACUGGAAUUUACGGUGUAGCGGUGAAAUGCGUAGAUAUCGUAAGGAAGACCAGUGGCGAAGGCGGGUCUCUGGACAGUUCCUGACGCUGAGGCACGAAGGCCAGGGGAGCAAACGGG